rnacentral:rRNA from 1 species
AACGGACUUGGCGGCAAGAUAGCUUUUUAGAGGAACCUGCCCUGUAAACGAUGAACCACGAGGGCCCUACUUUUCUUAGUAAUAUUCAGUUUGUAUACCUCUGUUGUUAGUUAGACUCUAAAUAGUAUUUUCAUUUAUGAAAAAAUCAUUGACUUCAAGUAAAGGUGCAGCUUAUAGAAAAGAUAGAGGUGGGUUACAUUUUUAAGAUAAAGGCGUAUAAGAUAAUUUAAAUAAUCUUUGAAGGUGGAUUUAACUGUAAAACUAAGAAGGUUGAUAUAGCUCUCGCCUCC